rnacentral:lncRNA from 7 species
ACAGCCUGCAGGAGUUCUUGCAGUGCCAAAUAUUUUGUCCUGUGGCUGCUACCUAGAGCGCUUCUGAAAGUCAUCACUGUCGGAGGAGCUGCUGGUCUGGGAUGAGUCCCUCAGAGCUGCCCGUCACAUGGUGAUGUUGCUUACUGUAGCUGAGCUGCUAUUCCUGGGAGAGAUUGGGGUCAGUUUGCUUCAAGGAGGUUAUUUCAUUGAAGAAAUUGAGCAAUGCUUGCUACUUUAUGAUAAGAUUAAGUGAAACCUGACCAUGCAGGAGCAAGCAUUAUACAGGAGACUGAGUCAAGCCUAAUGAAGCCGUCCUUUGUGGAAACCUUCAAAGCCUGUAAGCAGUGGGGAUGUGAGGAGACCCUCUAUGCUUUGGUGUUGACUUCCCGUGGAAUUCAAAGAAAAUCUGCUCUGAUGAACUAAAUCCUGCCAUGACCUGGAUAGGAUGAUUGGUCUUCUGGGGUAGACCGGGCAGAUGACACUAUAACAAAUCACUGCUGGUUUCAUAAUUAGGGUCCUAUAGUAAAUAAAAAAAUCAUAAACUCUGUGCUGAGGGCAUCAUUUAAGCUGGAGGGCCUGCUGAGGACUACAAGCAGUGAGGUAGGAGUCAGCAGGCGGUGGUGGGGCUAGUCAGGAAAGCUACAGUGCAGAGACAGGAGAGGACAGGAGUAAGAAAAUGCAGGAGGGCUGAGCAGAUAGGAAGCAGGACCAAGGAUCACAAUGAGGAAUCAAGGUGUGAAGCAUGAUAUUGAGGCUGCAAAUUUCCACAGAGGUGCUUGUACAGAGAGCUGUUUAAUGUCUCAUGUCAUUAAGUAAAUACACUGAGAAUGGCCUUGGCUUUCCAUUACCUCAGUCACUGUUGACCAGUGAUCAGAGGAGCUUGACUCCAGCUGGGCAGUGAGUUCUUACAUGCUUAUAUUUGUAGUAUGGGAGGAACUGCAAUUCCCUUGUCUCAGUGGUUUUGCACUGUCUACUGAGUUUGUAGUUCUUUAUCCAACUGGCAGUGAAACUGUUAUCAGAAAUUUACAUUCUGACAAUCCCGGCUGCCUGGACUUGGGAAAACUACAGGCAUAUUCCUUGUUGGCCUGUUAGGCUAGUAUCUGCCUCAUCUUUACUCCUUCACAUGCAGCCUCUCUGAUUGCUCAAGAAUGGAGUGGCUGUGAUUUUGCUGACUGUGCUGCUUUGGUUCAGCUGUGAAGCAGUUACUUGUAAUUGGUGCCAAGGAAUAGCAAUCAACUGGAAAAAAUGCACUGGGAAAAGUUGAAUUUUUUUACUGAAAAAUAUUUCCGUGAGCUGAGGCUUGAAAUGAAAAUGUCUGUGGAAGGAAAGAAGGCAUAGUAGAGUCUGCUUUUCUGUGGUUUACAGUGAAAAUCUGCUUCUGGAAUAAAGGGAAAGGAAAACAAGAUGAUUAGCACAUAUGCUGUGCCCAGUUCUCAGUGGUACAUUUUAUGAUGUCUCAGGGGGAUGUAGGGUACGCAAAGGAACAAAAUUCUCAUGUUCAGAAGAAGGCCAUAAGCUCAAGUCAUAGGAAGACUUCAUUGGGGGAGGGGGAAAGAACCUUGACAGUGACCAAAAAUGAAGAUCAGUGUUUCAGAUACCUGUAGGGGAAAAAGUAGUUUCCAAAUGCUAACAAAAAUAGAAAUUGAAUUUCUCUCCAUAAUUAUGUAUUCCUCCUUGGAGAACCUCAGAGUCAUUUUCACAGUGGAUUUCACAGUACUGUAUGUAUUUUGAUCACAAACUGUUUACUAGUAUAGUUUUAUGCUUUUAAAUAGAUGCUGAGUGUCCUAUCCUGAAAAUAAGCAAGGUAAAUUCUAAUGUCAGCUACUUCCAAAUGUUCAGAAAUAAGAUGACAGAAUGCUAUACAUGUAUUUCCAGGCCGUAGUCAAAGAAAGCACUUAUUUCUGUUAUUUAUAUUUUGCCUACAUUGUUUUUUUGCAAGCAUCACACUGAUGUGUGAAUAUUGGAAGUAUAUGACUCCUCAGUUCUGCAGUGCAGCAUGCUUGCUUAAUGUUACUGUGGAUCAUCUGUUUGUUAUGGUCAUCUUUAAUUAUUAUUUUUUAAGCUUUUUAGCUUAAUAACAUCUUAUUAUCCAGUCUCUUGCUACUUGAGAUCUUAAGGUCAUCCAGUUCUUAUUAAAUUUUCAUAUU